UACGUAGGGGGCAAGCGUUGUCCGGAUUUAUUGGGCGUAAAGCGCUCGCAGGCGGCUUGCUACGUCGUGCGUGAAACACCCCGGCUCAACUGGGGAGGGUCGUGCGAUACGGGCAGGCUGGAGGCCAGUAGGGGGAUGCGGAAUUCCGGGUGUAGUGGUGGAAUGCGUAGAGAUCCGGAGGAACACCAGCGGCGAAGGCGGCUCACUGGACCGGUAUUGACGCUGAGGUGCGAAAGCGUGGGGAGCAAACAGG
rnacentral:rRNA from 1 species